AAGUUUAAAUUUGAUUAAAAAGCUUCUCUUGAAUCAUCAACAUGCAUAAAGUGUUAUAAUACAAAACCGACCUUAGCUCAGUUGGUAGAGCGGAGGACUGUAGUUGACGCAGAUAAUCCUUAGGUCACUGGUUCGAAUUCGGUAGGUCGGAUCAUUAAAAUUGAAAGUU
rnacentral:tRNA from 1 species